CACCCCCGUUGUGAUACUGUUCCUAACAUUCAGGAAGGGAGAGAAUGAUGUUAGUCCCAAUAUCGCAGGGCGUGUACAACCCAUUGUUCUGAAUAUCCAUGGGAAGAGAGAGUGAUUUUACUCCCAAUAUCGAAGGGAAUGUAUAUCCCUCCGUGAUAUUGUUUUUAAUAUCCAGUUGGGAAGAGGAUGAUAUUACUCCCAAUAUCAAAGGGAAUGUAUAUCCCUCCGUGAUAUUGUUUUUAAUAUCCAGUUGGGAAGAGGAUGAUAUUACUCCCAAUAUCGCACGGGUUGUACAUUGCCCUGUGAUAUUGUUGCUGCUAACAAAGUGGGAGAGGAUGAUAUUACUCCCAAUAUAGCAGGAGGUGUACAUUCCCCCUGUGAUGUUGUUCCUGCUAUCCAAAGCGGGAGAGGAUGAUAUUACUCCCAAUAUCGCAUGGGGUGUACACCCUCCCUGUGAUAUUGUUCCUAAUACCCAGGUUGGGAGAGGAUAAUAUUACGACAAAUAUCACAGGAGGUGUGCAACCCCCUUUGAUAUUGUUCCUAAUAUUUAGAGGG
rnacentral:lncRNA from 1 species